rnacentral:rRNA from 1 species
AGAGGUGGCAAGCGUUGUUCGGAAUUACUGGGCGUAAAGGGCGCGUAGGCGGCCUACUAAGUCAGACGUGAAAUCCCCAGGCUUAACUUGGGAACUGCGUCUGAUACUGGGAGGCUUGAGUGCGGGAGAGGGAUGUGGAAUUCCAGGUGUAGCGGUGAAAUGCGUAGAUAUCUGGAGGAACACCGGUGGCGAAGGCGGCAUCCUGGACCGACACUGACGCUGAGGCGCGAAAGCUAGGGGAGCAAACGGGAUUAGAUACCCCGGUAGUCCUAGCCCUAAACGAUGAGUGCUUGGUGUGGCGGGUAUCGAUCCCUGCCGUGCCGAAGCUAACGCAUUAAGCACUCCGCCUGGGGAGUACGGUCGCAAGGCUG